GUAGUUGUGGCCGAGUGGUUAAGGUGAUGGACUAGAAAUCCGUUGGGGUGUUUCCCCACACAGGUUCAAAUCCUGUCAACUACG